CCCCAGAUCUAAUCCUAUCCAAUGCAUGGCAUCGCAUCCUCCAUCGCCCUACUCCUCUAGCGAAGCUGCCUCUCCAUCCACGUCCCCACUAUCCUCCUUCCUCCAACUCCCAUCUCCACCACCAGAUCCUCCUCCGAUCCAUGUGCCGCCGACCGAUACCUCCCCCUUCUCCAUCUGAAGCGACGACGCGGGCGUCGGCGAUGUCUUCUCCUUCCCCGGCGACUUCAAACUCACGCUGCUCUACAACAUCAUCGACGAGGGACGCCACUCACGAAUCCUCCACGACCACGGCGCCGCCAGAUCCCCUCUUACCGAUAACGCAGCCGCCAGAUACACUCGUCCCAGACAAGGCUGCUGUUGGAUCCGCUCGUCCCCGAUAAGGCCGCCGCCGGAUGCACUUCUCACCGGCAGCAACUGUCCGCGUAUCUAGCUCUACCUUCCUGGCUCCUCCGACUAAAACUGCGAGAUCAGCAGGAUCUAUCCCGAGACCUCAACCCCAAAUCCUAGGUCGCCAAAAUCACCGGUUACCUCAACCACUAUUUGCAUGCAUACAAGAGCUGAAGCCACUAUCCUGUGCAGUGCAUGCCUGGGUGUUCUUGAUGCUUCUGGUGCUUGUAGCGGUCUGAUCAACAACUUCUUCUACACUUACUAGUUCAACGGUAGCCACUGUAUCGCUUCAUGCUUCGCUCCAAGGGCGUUGGCAACGUGUUCUACUGGAGCACGCAGAUGUUGGCUCUGCUGGCAUCAACUGCUUCCUCAACUUCGGGUUCUCCAGCACAGGAAAAAGGGCCUGGUUGGGCUCAUCAUCCUUUCAGUGUGAAAGAAAGGUAUUUGAUGCUGAGAGAAGCUCUGAUUAUUCUAAACUGAUUAUUAUUCACAAGUCUCCUUUUGAAGCUAACUCUGGAAGUGCUGCUAGGAAGUAAGCUAAAAAGGAGCUCCUGUUGUGUUGGAACUGUUCUGGGAACUAGCAUUUUUUAUAGAAGAUGGUCGGUAGUUCAUAUGAUGCAAUGCUUUGACAAACAAUUUGUAUCCUGAACUUGUGAACCUUGAGUUCAUAAUGUUCUGAUGUACCUGUACUGCUAUUGGUAUGUUGUGAUGUUUCUUCUGUAAUAUCUGCUGCUAUCUACCCUUGGUACUGAAUUUCGGAUAUAUGUAUGUAACUGGGUAGUAAAGUGACCA